rnacentral:rRNA from 1 species
AGAGUGGCAGACGGGUGAGUAACGCGUGGGAAUCUACCUAGUUCUACGGAACAACAGAGGGAAACUUCUGCUAAUACCGUAUACGCCCUAAGGGGGAAAGAUUUAUCGGAAUUAGAUGAGCCCGCGUAAGAUUAGCUAGUUGGUGGGGUAAUGGCCUACCAAGGCGACGAUCUUUAGCUGGUCUGAGAGGAUGAUCAGCCACACUGGGACUGAGACACGGCCCAGACUCCUACGGGAGGCAGCAGUGGGGAAUAUUGGACAAUGGGCGCAAGCCUGAUCCAGCCAUGCCGCGUGAGUGAUGAAGGCCUUAGGGUUGUAAAGCUCUUUCAGUGGGGAAGAUAAUGACGGUACCCACAGAAGAAGCCCCGGCUAACUUCGUGCCAGCAGCCGCGGUAAUACGAAGGGGGCUAGCGUUGUUCGGAUUUACUGGGCGUAAAGCGCACGUAGGCGGAUUGUUAAGUGAGAGGUGAAAUCCCGGAGCUCAACUCCGGAACUGCCUUUCAUA